AGUGAACGCUGGCGGUAGGCCUAACACAUGCAAGUCGAACGGCAGCACAGUAAGAGCUUGCUCUUACGGGUGGCGAGUGGCGGACGGGUGAGGAAUACAUCGGAAUCUACUUUUUCGUGGGGGAUAACGUAGGGAAACUUACGCUAAUACCGCAUACGACCUACGGGUGAAAGCAGGGGAUCUUCGUACCUUGCGCGAUUGAAUGAGCCGAUGUCGGAUUAGCUAGUUGGCGGGGUAAAGGCCCACCAAGGCGACGAUCCGUAGCUGGUCUGAGAGGAUGAUCAGCCACACUGGAACUGAGAAACGGUCCAGACUCCUAAGGGAGGCAGCAGUGGGGAAUAUUGGACAAUGGGCGCAAGCCUGAUCCAGCCAUACCGCGUGGGUGAAGAAGGCCUUCGGGUUGUAAAGCCCUUUUGUUGGGAAAGAAAAGCAGCAGGUUAAUACCCCGCUGUUCUGACGGUACCCAAAGAAUAAGCACCGGCUAACUUCGUG
rnacentral:rRNA from 1 species